rnacentral:rRNA from 1 species
AUGAAGCAUUGUCGAACAGCCGACGUCGGCGGUGCUUCAUUGCAACCUCGCCGGAGCUUCCAACGACCGCCGCGGCGCUUCACUGCAACCUCGUCGGAGCUUCACUGCAACCUCGCCGGAGCUCCAAGAACCGCCGUGGCGCUUCAUUGCAACCUCGCCGGAGCUUCAUUGCAACCUCAGCCGUGCUCCAUGGUAGCACCCCGACGACCGCCGGCGAAGCUUCAUUGCAGCGUCACCACCACCGCGCGGCCGUGCUCCAUCGCAGCACCGCUGCCCGCCUGCCCCGUCAAAGCUCCACCGCAGCACCAGACGGGCGCCGGCGAAGCUUCACUUCAGCGCAACGCGACGGCGUCGAGGUGCUGCGGCGAAUCAGGCGACCGCGAUGGCGGAUGUUGUGACACAACACGGCGGCGACGGCGAUGCUGCGAUGCAGACGCGGUGGCGACAGAGCUCUCGAGGCCCGAUGUUGUGAUGCUCCUCUCCUCAACCUCCCCACUGCAGCAUGUGAGGCGAGUGGUGACCCGCCUCCAACACCGUCGUCUUCUGCAGCUCCGGUGGCCACACCGAACCCUCGUCCCCCCUUGGAGCAGCGAUGCCCUGCGAUGGAUCUAUCACAUGGGUCCUAGGAUUUGUGUUGGAGCUUCGCCGGAGGGAGAGAAGGUGAGCGGGAAGGUUGUUGGUGCCGGCGGUGGGUUGGACGGGAUCGAGGGGUGA